GCCUCCAGGUGGGUAGGACUGGAGCAGCAGGUGCCCAGGAAGAGGGAAAGAACAAAGCUCCAGUUUCUGCGCCACCAUCCCCACAUAAUGGAAGAGGGGCCUGGAAACAGAGGAGGGGCAGCCAGGCACCAAGAGGAAAAUGCAGCCUCCUUCUGGAAACAAGGGCUCCCUCCCGCAGGCUUUCCCGAGGCCGGGUUCAAAAGGCCCAUGUUCACCUGAGUUUUAGGAUCUGCCAAAACCCGAAAGUCACCAUCUAAAAACAACUCCAAAGAAAGAUACGUAUCAUCCCCGUUUUACAGAUGAAGAAACUGAGACUCGAGAUCACAUCGCUGUUAUGUGUGGGGAGACGAUUUUCCACGGGUCUCUCACAUUUCUGUAUAUCUUGUGAGCCAAGAUGCCGACUGCCUUUGCUCUGAUCUUUAUAAAGAUGUUUGCACGGUGAACAGCUUUGGAAGAUGUAAUGUCCUCCUCGGGGAUGAAGGGUAGGCAUGCUUACUGUCCAUUAUAAAAGAUUCAGGUCCCUAAGCUCAGGGUUCCCGUCUUGUAACACACCCUUCUCGUGUGCACAGGUAUGAGCUGGCCCUCUUUGCAGUGCCUUAUGGCAACUGUAGCUUAGAGAGUUGUUGCAAAAACCAGAAUGCACUGGCUCCCACUAGCCCUGUGAUAAACUGUCUUUUGUCUCUGACCCAUGAGACAGGCCAGGCUAACUUGUCAACUUGUGGCAGAUUUAGCACCUUCAUCAAAACCUGUUUCCCUUUGACAUCCAUACACUUAGGGGAUAGAUAAGCAGGAGGUGAUAUUAAAGCAAAACGAAACCCA